rnacentral:lncRNA from 1 species
AUAGCACUGAAUUUGUGACACCACAAUUAUUUCCAUGGCAACUAGUUACUGUCAAGCAGAGAAGCACUGCAAGGACAGCAGAGUAGGAGUGAUACAAUCAGCAAUUUUAUUCUGUCCAGAGAAUUCCAAGCUGUUGGAGAGUGCACAUAGUGACAGAAAGGCCAACACAAAAGGCCCUGCACAAAUCAGAUUACUUGUAAUGAAAGUAGGAAUAAUGAUCUCCAAUCAACUGCAGCUAAUUUACAUUUACUGCACCCUUCAAGAAGUGUCUGAAAUAAGAAUUGUGCUCUCCGGAGACAGAGAAAAGACUUUUCAUCAUCCAAAGCCCUGUCAGCAUAGAUAAAAGACCUGAGGCUGAUGAAGGUCUGACUCAAAGCAUGAACAGAAGUAGACCAUGUAGAAAUGUUGAAAGUGGUGUAAUAAAGUCUCUUGUUGGAAGGCA